UGCUCUCUGGGGGACAGGGGCAAGGCAGAAGGGUAUCCAGCUGCAGGGCAACGCAGAGCAGGCGCAGGCUCGGGCAGGGCACGUGCCCCUUGGAAAACCUGCUGGGGGCUCCCGAGCCUCCGCCUGUUCACAAAGAGAAAAAGGGCCGGGGUCAAAUAAGCAGAGGAAGAAACUGCAAAGGUUAAAAUAAGGAGACGGUCAAAGUAUGAUUUCAUAAAUCACACAGUUUAUUGUCACACAGAGAAUUUUUUCUUCUCUUUAAGGUUCACAAUGCUUAAAGAAGGGGAGAAUAACGCGAACAAACCUAACAGGGAACAUACUCAAUAGGCAAGGUACACGCAGCCACUCGGUGAGCUCCGAGAUCAUGAGGCCUCGGUGCACAGUUAGCAUGGAACAGGCCUCUGUGGACAGUCAGACUAAUUAACGCUAGAGGUGGAGCUGUGUGUGCAGGGCUCUGGGAGGGGCGGGCUUGGCCACCAGAGUGGAGACCGAAGAAAAGCAGGCAAGCUCCCUCGAGCUAGGGGCGGUGCUGGUGCUGUCAGGCCGGAUUCAAGGCGCCAAGGCCUGUCUCUGCCCAGCUCUUGGCCUUCAGAAGAGCAGCUGGCACAGGGGACACUGCUACAGCCUAAGCUCUCCAAGUGCCUGCCAGACUCUGAGGUUGACAUGUAUUUCGCAGUGUAGGAGUUGAGUCAGGAAUCCACAUAUGGGUUCUGAUAAGGUGUGAUGUACUCCCAAGUGGAAGAGGUGAAACUCCAAGUUCUCACGUAUGAGAUCUGAUAAGACGUCACAUUCUCCAGGGAGUGGGGAGUACACUCCCAGUUCUUAAGACAGCAAAAUAUGUAUUAUGCACACAGCAAACUAGGCCGUAAUGAGAGAGGGGGAACAGGAACCAGCCAUGCUGACAGAUGACCCAGGUCUGGAUUUUUCUUGAAAUGUCACCAGAAGAGACACUGGACAAUGAAAAAAAUAUUCUUUCCAAACUCAAGAUACACACAGAAUUGUGGAUUUAAUCACCAUGGUAGUUCUACAGAAUCCUGCAGGCAAGAGA